GGGGCUGGGGCUCAGUGGUAGCGCACGUGCCUGAUAUGUAUGAGGCACCGGGUUCAAUUCUCGGCACCA
rnacentral:tRNA from 1 species